UGGGGUUCUGUGGGUCCCAUGGGGUCCUAUAGGGUUCUGUGGGUCCGGUGGGUCCUAUAGGGCUGGAGGUUCUGUGGGUGCUGUGGGUCCCAUAGCGUUGUGUGUCCUAUGGGGCCCUAUAGGGUUCUGUGGGUCUUAUGGGGUCCUAUAGGGUUCUGGGGGGUUCUGUGGGUUCUGUGGGAUCCUAUAGGGUUCUAUGGGGUUCUGUGGGUCCUGUGGGGUCCUAUAGGGUUCUAUGGGGUUCUGUGGGUCCUGUGGGGUCCUAUAGGGUUCUAUGGGGUUCUGUGGGAUCCUAUAGGGUUCUAUGGGGUUCUGUGGGUCCUGGGGGGUCCUAUAGGGUUCUGUGGGGUUCUGUGGGUCCUGUGGGGUCCUAUAGGGUUCUGUGGGGUUCUGUGGGUCCUGUGGGGUCCUAUAGGGUUCUGUGGGGUUCUAUGGGUCCUGUGGGGUCCUAUAGGGUUCUAUAGGGUUCUGUGGGUCCGGUGGGUCCUAUAGGGCUGGAGGUUCUGUGGGUGCUGUGGGUCCCAUAGCGCUGUGUGUCCUAUGGGGCCCUAUAGGGUUCUGUGGGUCUUAUGGGGCCCUAUAGGGUUCUGUGGGUCUUAUGGGGUCCUAUAGGGUUCUGGGGGAUUCUGUGGGUCCUGUGGGGUCCUAUAGGGUUCUAUGAG
ensembl:lncRNA